GGUUGAAUUUCAGUUUUGCCAUUAAAGGUGUUUUGAUGAGAAGCAAAAAGCUCACUUUUCCCCGCAAAGUGUGAUGAGAAACCAUUUAUUUCAACGAAUGGGAAAGGAACUGAAUUGCAUUUUCUGCCGAUUAUCUGGCGACCAACCCUUUGCCUCAAGCAACCAAGAUCUGGACGCUCAGACUUGGAGAUGGUCUGCUGCUCUUGAUGCUUUCGGAGACAGCUAUGGCAAGAAUGCAAGGCUGCCCGCUGUGCGGACAACAAAUAGGCCGUCUCCGCCGAGGGGAACUUUCCCAGAAGACCUCAGAAGCUUUUGUGGGGGAUCACCAAGCCGCUUUCCACUGGAGGGAACCGCGGGAGAUGCUUGCCAGGUGGCGUCGAUGUUUUGGGGCGUUUGCCCUGGAGGGUUGCUUCUUCUCUUUCCACCAUGAUAGCGAACGGCAGACUUUUUGUGGCGGGGUCCAUCAGUGGUUCUCAAACAUUUUACACCAAGUACCAUCUAAAAAGUGCUAUUCACAUUAUUGACAGCUGCUGUAUUAUUUAUUACGGGCAGCCCAGUGUGUAUGUGUGUGUGUGUGCACGCGCACUCAUGAGAGCAUGUGCACAGCUGCCCAUCUGUUUGGUGAAAGCCGGCGCGGCCCCUUGCAGCCAAACGACUGAUGUGAUUUAGUGGCGCAGGUCACAGGUCAAGAGCCCCCGGUCUCCAUCUGCGUCUAAAAAAUAAAAAAAAAGCCAUCAGGAAGGGUUUAGCCUGGAGUCAAUAGUCCAGGUGC